GACAGAGGGUGCAAACGUUGUUCGGAAUUACUGGGCGUAAAGGGCGCGUAGGCGGCCCACUAAGUCGAACGUGAAAUCCCUGGGCUCAACCCAGGAACUGCGUCCGAUACUGGUGGGCUCGAAUCCGGGAGAGGGAUGUGGAAUUCCAGGUGUAGCGGUGAAAUGCGCAGAUAUCAGGAGGGACACCGGUGGCGAAGGCGGAUCUCUGGGCCUUACCUGACGCUCAGGCGCGAAAGCUAGGGGAGCGAACAGG
rnacentral:rRNA from 1 species